rnacentral:rRNA from 1 species
UACAGGGGGGGCAAGCGUUGUUCGGAAUUACUGGGCGUAAAGGGCCAGUAGGCGGCCGACUAAGUCCGACGUGAAAUCCCCAGGCUUAACCUGGGAACUGCGUCGGAUACUGGUUGGCUUGAAUUCGGGAGAGGGAUGCAGAAUUCCAGGUGUAGCGGUGAAAUGCGUAGAUAUCUGGAGGAAUACCGGUGGCGUAGACGGCUUUCUGGACCGUAACUGACGCUGAGACACGAAAGCGUGGGUAGCAAACAGG